rnacentral:rRNA from 1 species
GACGAACGCUGGCGGCGCGCUUAACACAUGCAAGUCGAACGGAAAGGCCUGCUUUCCCUUGUGGAUUGCGGGUACUCGAGUGGCGAACGGGUGAGUAACACGUGAGUGAUCUGCCCCCAACUUGGGUAUAAGCCUGGGAAACUGGGUCUAAUUCCCGAUAGGACCGCAGGGUGGUGCCUGUGGUGGAAAACGAUUUUCUAGUGGUUGGGGAUGAGCUCGCGGCCUAUCAGCUUGUUGGUGGGGUAAUGGCCUACCAAGGCGGCGACGGGUAGCCGGCCUGAGAGGGUGGACGGCCACAUUGGGACUGAGAUACGGCCCAGACUCCUACGGGAGGCAGCAGUGGGGAAUAUUGCACAAUGGGCGGAAGCCUGAUGCAGCGACGCCGCGUGGGGGAUGACGGCCUUCGGGUUGUAAACUCCUUUCGACCGCGAGGAAGCCACCUGGUUGGAAGGGUGGUGACGGCAGUGGUAGAAGAAGCACCGGCUAACUACGUG